rnacentral:rRNA from 1 species
GACGAACGCUGGCGGCGUGCUUAACACAUGCAAGUCGAACGGAAAGGCCCCUUUUGGGGUACUCGAGUGGCGAACGGGUGAGUAACACGUGCGUAACCUGCCCUUGACUUCGGGUUAACUUCAGGAAACUGGGGCUAAUACCGGCUAGGAAUCCUUGCUGCAUGGUGGGGGUUGGAAAGCUUCGGCGGUUUUGGAUGGACUCGCGGCUUAUCAGCUUGUUGGUGGGGUAGUGGCUUACCAAGGCUUUGACGGGUAGCCGGCCUGGGAGGGCGACCGGCCACAUUGGGACUGGGAUACGGCCCAGACUCCUACGGGGAGCAGCAGUGGGGAAUAUUGCACAAUGGGCGGGAGCCUGAUGCAGCAACGCCGCGUGCGGGAUGACUGCCUUCGGGUUGUAAACCGCUUUCAGCAGGGGCGAAGCUUGUGGUGACGGUACCUGCAGAAGAAGCACCGGCUAACUACGUG